GACGAACGCUGGCGGCGCGCUUAACACAUGCAAGUCGAACGGAAAGGCCUGCUUUCCCUUGUGGAUUGCGGGUACUCGAGUGGCGAACGGGUGAGUAACACGUGAGUGAUCUGCCCCCAACUUGGGUAUAAGCCUGGGAAACUGGGUCUAAUUCCCGAUAGGACUGCAGGGUGGUGCCUGUGGUGGAAAACGAUUUUCUAGUGGUUGGGGAUGAGCUCGCGGCCUAUCAGCUUGUUGGUGGGGUAAUGGCCUACCAAGGCGGCGACGGGUAGCCGGCCUGGGAGGGUGGACGGCCACAUUGGGACUGAGAUACGGCCAAGACUCCUACGGCAGGCAGCAGUGGGGAAUAUUGAACAAUGGGCGGAAGCCUGAUGCAGCGACGCCGCGUGGGGGAUGACGGCCUUCGGGUUGUAAACUCCUUUCGACCGCGAGGAAGCCACCUGGUUGGAAGGGUGGUGACGGUAGUGGUAGAAGAAGCACCGGCUAACUACGUG
rnacentral:rRNA from 1 species